UAUCUAAUCAGUUCAGUUACAAUCCAUCUACAACAAGGCUGCAACAGCGUCAUGAAGCUCCAAAUCUUAGUUUUCGCAUUAAUUUUCUCCGUAAUAUUCACCGUGGUGUACUCUGUUCCAGCAGAUGGCGCAGGAUUGCUAGUUCGAUCGAAUCGCAAAAUUUACUGCAAAGCGGCAUCUCCAACACCUAAUGAUACGAAGUCAUACAAUGAAGCAUGCAGAGCACAUUGCAUCAGAUUUCAUGGCAAAAGGACAGGUUCUUGUACCGGCAGAUACUGCAAAUGUGCUUAAUUGUUUUUCAAAAUAACAUUUCGUGGUUUAAGUGUUAGUACGUAAGAUUUCGCUGUUUAAUUGGUCUAUAUUUAGUGACGUGGAGGAUCGUUUUCAAACAAACUAUUUUGUAGAAUUAAAGCAGCAUACCAAAGGUA